rnacentral:rRNA from 1 species
UCCCAGACUCCUACGGGAGGCAGCAGUGGGGGAUAUUGCACAAUGGGGGAAACCCUGAUGCAGCGACGCCGCGUGAGUGAAGAAGUAUUUCGGUAUGUAAAGCUCUCUCAGCAGGGAAGAAGAUGACAGUACCUGAGUAAGAAGCCCCGGCUAACUACGUGCCAGCAGCCGCGGUAAUACGUAGGGGGCAAGCGUUAUCCGGAUUUACUGGGUGUAAAGGGAGCGUAGACGGCCAGACAAGUCUGAAGUGAAAAUCCAGCGCUUAACGUUGGAAGUGCUUUGGAAACUGCCGGGCUGGAGUGCAGGAGGGGCAGGCGGAAUUCCUAGUGUAGCGGUGAAAUGCGUAGAUAUCAGGAGGAACACCGGCGGCGAAGGCGGCCUGCUGGACCGUGACUGACGUUGAGGCUCGAGAGCGUGGGGAGCAAACAGGAUUAGAUACCCUUGUA